GCGGGGAAGUGCAAUGGUCGCACGCUGGGCUCAUGACCCGGAAGUUGUCGGUUCGAAUCCGGCU
rnacentral:tRNA from 1 species